GUGUCUGGUUUACGUGUCUCCUCAGAUGCGACGCGGCGUGAAAAAAGGCAAUGACGCGGGCGCGCGCACACGCGCGCGCCCGCUCAGCACACGGCCACAGGGGUGGAAGGCGGAUUAUGCAGUGAUGAUCCUUCCGCAGGUUCACCUACGGAAA
rnacentral:misc_RNA from 1 species